UUCCGGUUGAUCCUGCCGGAGGCUACUGCUAUCGGGGUUCGAUUAAGCCAUGCGAGUUAAAUGUUCUUCGUGAACAUAGCGAACUGCUCAGUAACACGUGGAUAACCUACCCUUAGGACCGGAAUAACCCCGGGAAACUGGGGAUAAUACCGGAUAAGCCAUAGACGCUGGAAUGCCCUAUGGUUCAAAGCUCCGGCGCCUAAGGAUGGAUCUGCGGUCUAUCAGGUUGUAGUGGGUGUAACGUACCUACUAGCCGACGACGGAUACGGGUUGUGAGAGCAAGAGCCCGGAGAUGGAUUCUGAGACACGAAUCCAGGCCCUACGGGGUGCAGCAGGCGCGAACACUUUACAAUGCGGGAAACCGCGAUAAGGGAACCCCGAGUGCCAGCAUCAAAUGUUGGCUGUCCAGAUGGUUAAAAAUCAUUUGUUAGCAAGGGCCGGGCAAGACCGGUGCCAGCCGCCGCGGUAACACCGGCGGCCCGAGUGGUAGCCGUUUUUAUUGGGUCUAAAGGGUCCGUAGCCGGCCUGAUAAGUCCUUUGGGAAAUCUGACAGCUUAACUGUCAGGCUUCUAAGGGAUACUGUCAGGCUUGGGACCGGAAGAGGUAAGGGGUACUCCAGGGGUAGGAGUGAAAUCUUGUAAUCCCUGGGGGACCAUCUGUGGCGAAGGCGCCUUACCAGAACGGGUCCGACGGUGAGGGACGAAAGCUAGGGGAGCAAACCGGAUUAGAUACCCGGGUAGUCCUAGCUGUAAACGAUGCUCGCUAGGUGUCAGACACGGUGCGACCGUGUUUGGUGCCGCAGGGAAGCCGUUAAGCGAGCCACCUGGGAAGUACGGUCGCAAGGCUGAAACUUAAAGGAAUUGGCGGGGGAGCACUACAACGGGUGGAGCCUGCGGUUUAAUUGGAUUCAACGCCGGA
rnacentral:rRNA from 3 species